rnacentral:lncRNA from 1 species
AGGAGAAAAUGCGUGUUUUUUGCUGAAAUGGGGCAUUUUCGAAGAGAAAAUGUUUGAUUUUCGCUUAAAUGCAUGAUGUUUUUUUGUUAAAUGGGGGAUUUUCGAAGAGAGAACGGGUGAUUUUCGCUUAAAUGUGUGAUUUUUUGGGAUAAUUGGGGGAUUUUUGAAGAGAAAAUGCACGAUUUACCCUUAAAUGGGGGAUUUUUGAGGAGAAAAUGCGUGAUUUUGGGGUAAAAAGGGGGAUUUUCGAGGAGAAAAGGGGUGAUGUUUGGGUUAAAUGGGGGAUUUUUGAAAAGAAAAGGGGUGAUUUUCACUUAAAUGUCGGAUUUUCGAAGAGAAAAUGGGUGAUUUUGGGGUUAAAUGGGGGAUUUUUGAAGAGAGAACGGGUGAUUUUUGCUUAAACGCGUUAUUUUUUAGCUAAAUGUUGGAUUUUCGAAGAGAAAAUGCAUGAUUUACCCUUAAAUGGCAGAUUUUCAGAAAUAAAAUGCAUGAUAUACCCUUAAAUGGGGGAUUUUCAAAGAGAAAAUGUUUGAUUUUCGCUUAAGUGCAUAGUUAUUUAGUUCAAUGGAGGAUUUUUGAGGAGAAAAUGCAUGAUUUACCCUUAAAUGGGGGGUUUUUGAGGAGAAAAUGUGUGAUUUUCCAAAUAAUUGGUGAUUUUUGAAGGGAAAAUGGGUGAUUUUCGGGUUAAAUGGGGGAUUUUCGAAGAGAAAACAAGUGAUUUUCGCUUAAAUGUGUGAUUUUUUGGGAUAAUUGGGGGAUUUUCGAAGAGAUAAUGCAUGAUUUACCCUUAAAUGGGGGAUUUUCGAGGAGAAAAUGCGUGAUUUUGGGGUAAAAAGGGGGAUUUUCGAGGAGAAAAGGGGUGAUUUUUGGGUUAAAUGGGGGAUUUUUGAAAAGAAAAGGGGUGAUUUUCACUUAAAUGUCGGAUUUUCGAAGAGAAAAUGGGUGAUUUUGGGGUAAAAUGGCGGAUUUUCGAAGAGAAAAUGCGUGAUUUUUGCUUAAAUGCAUGAUUUUUUUGUUACAUGGGGGAUUUUUGAGGAGAAAAUGCAUGAUUUACCCUUAAAUGGGGGGUUUUUGAGGAGAAAAUGCGUGAUUUUCCAAAUAAUUGGGGAUUUUUGAAGGGAAAAUGGGUGAUUUUCGGAUUAAAUGUGGGAAUUUUGAAGAGAAAAUGGGUGAUUUUGGGGUUAAAUGGGAGAUUUUCAAAGAGAAAACGGGUGAUUUUCGCUUAAAUGCGUGAUUUUUUAGCUAAAUGUUGGAUAUUCAACGAGAAAAUGCAUGAUUUACCCUUAAAUGGGGGAUUUUUGAGGAGAAAAUGUGUGAUUUUGGGGUAAAAUGGGAAGUUUUCGAAGAGAAAAGGGGUGAUUUUCACUUAAAUGGGGGAUUUUUGAAGAGAAAAGGGGUGAUUUUCACUUAAAGGUGGGAUUUUCGAAGAGAAAUGCGUGAUUUUGGGGUAAAAUGGGAAAUUUUCAAAGAGAAAACGGGUGAUUUCUGCUUAAAUGCGAGAUUUUUUAGCUAAAUGUUGGAUUUUCGAACAGAAAAUGCAUGAUUUACCCUUAAAUGGGGGGUUUUUGAGGAGAAAAUGCGUGAUUUUCCAAAUAAUUGGUGAUUUUUGAAGGGAAAAUGGGUGAUUUUCGGGUUAAAUGGGGGAUUUUCGAAGAGAAAACAAGUGAUUUUCGCUUAAAUGUGUGAUUUUUUGGAUAAUUGGGGGAUUUUCGAAGUGAAAAUGCAUGAUUUACCCUUAAAUGGGGGAUUUUUGAGGAGAAAAUGCGUGAUUUUGGGGUAAAAAGGGGGAUUUUCGAGGAGAAAAGGGGUGAUUUUUGGGUUAAAUGGGGGAUUUUUGAAAAGAAAAGGGUUGAUUUUCACUUAAAUGUCGGAUUUUCGAAGAGAAAAUGGGUGAUUUUGGGGUAAAAUGGCGGAUUUUCGAAGAGAAAAUGCGUGAUUUUUGCUUAAAUGCAUGAUUUUUUUGUUAAAUGGGGGAUUUUUGAGGAGAAAAUGCAUGAUUUACCCUUAAAUGGGGGGUUUUUGAGGAGAAAAUGCGUGAUUUUCCAAAUAAUUGGGGAUUUUUGAAGGGAAAAUGGGUGAUUUUCGGAUUAAAUGCGGGAAUUUUGAAGAGAAAAUGGGUGAUUUUGGGGUUAAAUGGGAGAUUUUUGAAGAGAGAACGGGUGAUUUUCGCUUAAAUGCGUGAUUUUUUAGCUAAAUGUUGGAUUUUUGAAGAGAAAAUGCAUGAUUUACCCUUAAAUGGGGGAUUUUCGAGGAGAAAAUGCGUGAUAUUUGCUUAAAUGGGGCAUUUUCGAAGAGAAAAUGCGUGAUUUUUGCUUAAAUGCAUGAUUUUUUUGUUAAAUGGGGGAUUUUUGAGGAGAAAAUGCAUGAUUUACCCUUAAAUGGGGGAUUUUCAAGGAGAAAAUGCGUGAUUUUCCAAAUAAUUGGAGAUUUUUGAAGGGAAAAUGGGUGAUUUUCGGAUUAAAUGGGGGAAUUUUGAAGAGAAAAUGGGUGAUUUUCGGGUUAAAUGGGGGAUUUUUGAAGAGAAAACGGGUGAUUUUUGCUUACAUGUCUGAUUUUUUAGCUAAAUGUUGGAUUUUCGAAGAGAAAAUGCAUGAUUUACCCUUAAAUGGGGGGAUUUUCGUGGAGAAAAUGGGUGAUUUUUGGGUUAAAUGGGGCAUUUUUGAAGAGAAAAUGGGUGAUUUUCGAGAUAAAUCAAGGAUUUUUGAAGAGAAAAUGCAUGAUUUACCCUUAAAUGUUGGAUUUUCAAGGUGAAAGUGCGUGAUUUUCAAAAUAAAUGAGUGAUUUUUGAAGGGAAAAUGGUUGAUUUUUGGGUUAAAUGGGGGAUUUUGAAGAGAAAAUGGGUGAUUUUCGGGUUAAAUGGGGGAUUUUCGAAGAGAAAGUGGGUGAUUAUCGAGAUAAAUCAAGGAUUUUUGAAAAGAACAUGCAUGAUUUACCCUUAAAUGGGGGAUUUUCUAGGAGAAAAUGCGUGAUUUUCAACAUAAAUGCACGAUUUUUGAAGGGAAAAUUGGCGAUUUUUGGUUUUAAUUGGGGAGUUUUGAAGAGAAAAAGGGCGAUUUUCAUUUAAAUGGGCGAUUUUCGAAGAGUAGAUUUGUGAUUUUCGUUUAAAUGGGGGAUUUUCAAAGGGAAAAUGCAUGAUUUACGGGUUAAAUUGGGGAUUUUUGAAGAGAUAAUUCGUGAUUUAAAUUUAAAUGGGGGAUUUCCGAAGAGAAAAUGCCAGAUUUUUGAGUUAAAUGGGGGGAUUUUCCAAGCGAAAAUUUGUGUUUUUCACGUUAAAUUGGGGAUUUUGGGAUUUAAAAUGUGUGAUUUUCGCUUUAAGUGGGUGAUUAAGUGGGUGAUAAGGAGAAAAAUGGUCAUUUUUGGGUUAAAUGGGGAAUUUUUGAAGAGAAAAUCGGCAAUUUUCGCUUAAAUAGGGGAUUUUCAAAGCGCAAAUGUGUGUCUUUCAGAAUAAAUUUGGGAUUUUCAAAUCAAAAAUGGAUGGUUUUCCCUUAAAUUUGGAUUUUCAAAGGGAAAAUGCAUGAUUUUCGGGUUAUAUGGGGGAUUUUCGAAGACAAAAUACGUGUUUUUCGGGUUAAAUGGGUAUUUUCGAAGAGAAAAUGUGUGAUUUUCGGGUUAAAUGGGAGAUUUUUGAAGAGAGAAGGAGUGAUUUUUGGGUUAAUUGUGGGAUUUUUGAAGAGGAAAUUCAUGACUUUCGGAUUAAAUGGGGUAUUUUCAAAGGGAAAAUGCAUGAUUUCCCGUUUAAAUGUUGGAUUUUCAAAGAGAAAUUGGGUGAUUUUCGGGUUAAAUUGGGGAUUUUCAAAGGGAAAAUGCAUUUUUUUUCGGGUUAAAUGGGGCUUUUACGUAGAGAAAAUGCAUGUUUUUCAAGUUAAAUGGGGGAUUGUCGAAGAGAAGAUUUGUUUUUUUUUAGGGGGGUUAAAUAAGGGAUUUUUGUAGAGAAAAUUCUUGAUUUGGGGGUUGAAUGAGGGAUUUUCGAAGAGAAAAUGCGUGAAUUUCAGGUUAGAUGUGGGAUUUUCAAAGAAAAUAUGCGUCAUUUUCAGGUUAAAUGGGGGAUUGUCGAAGAGAAAAUUUACUAUUUUCAGUUAAAUGUUUUUUUUUUUUUUUUUUUUUUGUAGAGAACAUGCAUAGUUUUCAAUGUUAAAUGGGGGUUUUUCGAAGACGAAAAAAGGAAAGAUGAUAUUUUCAGGUUAAAGUGCAAAUUUUUUGAAGAGGAAUUUCAUGAUUUUCUUGUGAAAUGGGGGAUUUUUGACAGUACAUGUUUC